rnacentral:rRNA from 1 species
GAUGAACGCUAGCGGCAGGCUUAACACAUGCAAGUCGAGGGGUAUUGGUUUUCGGACCAAGAGACCGGCGCACGGGUGCGUAACGCGUAUGCAAUCUACCUUUUGCAGAGGGAUAGCCCCAGAGAAAUUUGGAUUAAUACCUCAUAGUAUAGUACUUUGGCAUCAAGGAACUAUUAAAGUCACAACGGCAAAAGAUGAGCAUGCGUCCCAUUAGCUAGUUGGUAAGGUAACGGCUUACCAAGGCUACGAUGGGUAGGGGUUCUGAGAGGGAGAUCCCCCACACUGGUACUGAGACACGGACCAGACUCCUACGGGAGGCAGCAGUGGGGAAUAUUGGACAAUGGGCGAAAGCCUGAUCCAGCAAUGCCGCGUGAGUGAUGAAGGCCUUAGGGUUGUAAAGCUCUUUUACCAGGGAUGAUAAUGACAGUACCUGGAGAAUAAGCUCCGGCUAACUCCGUGCCAGCAGCCGCGGUAAUGUGACUACU